GAUGAACGCUGGCGGCGUGCCUAAUACAUGCAAGUCGAGCGAACGGACGAGAAGCUUGCUUCUCUGAUGUUAGCGGCGGACGGGUGAGUAACACGUGGAUAACCUACCUAUAAGACUGGGAUAACUUCGGGAAACCGGAGCUAAUACCGGAUGAUAUUUUGAACCGCAUGGUUCAAAAGUGAAAGACGGUCUUGCUGUCACUUAUAGAUGGAUCCGCGCUGCAUUAGCUAGUUGGUAAGGUAACGGCUUACCAAGGCAACGAUGCAUAGCCGGCCUGAGAGGGUGAUCGGCCACACUGGAACUGAGACACGGUCCAGACUCCUACGGGAGGCAGCAGUAGGGAAUCCUCCGCAAUGGGCGAAAGCCUGACGGAGCAACGCCGCGUGAGUGAUGAAGGUCUUCGGAUCGUAAAACUCUGUUAUUAGGGAAGAACAUAUGUGUAAGUAACUGUGCACAUCUUGACGGUACCUAAUCAGAAAGCCACGGCUAACUACGUG
rnacentral:rRNA from 1 species